rnacentral:rRNA from 1 species
CCUACGGGUGGCUGCAGUGGGGAAUAUUGCGCAAUGGGGGCAACCCUGACGCAGCCAUGCCGCGUGAAUGAAGAAGGCCUUCGGGUUGUAAAGUUCUUUCGGUGACGAGGAAGGCGUGAUGUUUAAUAGACAUCACGAUUGACGUUAAUCACAGAAGAAGCACCGGCUAACUCCGUGCCAGCAGCCGCGGUAAUACGGAGGGUGCGAGCGUUAAUCGGAAUAACUGGGCGUAAAGGGCACGCAGGCGGCUAUUUAAGUGAGGUGUGAAAUCCCCGGGCUUAACCUGGGAAUUGCAUUUCAGACUGGGUAGCUAGAGUACUUUAGGGAGGGGUAGAAUUCCACGUGUAGCGGUGAAAUGCGUAGAGAUGUGGAGGAAUACCGAAGGCGAAGGCAGCCCCUUGGGAAUGUACUGACGCUCAUGUGCGAAAGCGUGGGGAGCAAACAGGAUUAGAUACCCGUGUAGUC